rnacentral:lncRNA from 1 species
CUUCUCCACCGGAAGAACCAGUUAGCUCACCACCUCAAGCACCAAAGUCGUCAUCUCCACCAGCUCCUGUAAGCUCACCACCUCCACUGAAGUCUUCUCCGCCUCCAGUACCAGAGAGCUCACCACCACCGACACCUAAGUCAUCACCUCCACUGGCUCCAGUGAGCUCACCACCUCAAGUGGAGAAGACUUCUCCACCACCAGCACCAGUCAGCUCACCACCACCGACACCUAAGUCAUCACCUCCACUAGCUCCAGUGAGCUCACCACCUCAAGUAGAGAAGACUUCUCCACCACCAGCACCAGUCAGCUCACCACCACCAACACCUAAGUCAUCACCUCCACUAGCUCCAGUGAGCUCACCACCUCAAGUAGAGAAGACUUCUCCACCACCAGCACCAGUCAGCUCACCACCAUUGGAGCCUAAGCCAUCAUCUCCACCUAGUUCUGUGAGCUCUCCACCUACGACGGUGAAGUCUUCUCCACCACCAGCACCACUUAGCUCGCCACCAAUGACGCCUAAGUCAUCAAGCCCACCUGCACACGUGAGCUCGCCUCCUGAAGCAGAGAAGUCAUCCCCGCCACUGGCACCGAUCAGCUCACCGCCAUCAGAGCCCAAGUCACCGUCGUCACCUCCAAUGGUAGAGAAAACUUCUCCACCACCGGCAACGGUUAGCUCACCACCACCUACGCCUAAGUCGUCACCUCCACCUGCUCCUGUGAGCUCACCACCUCCAGUGGUGAAGUCUUCUCCACCACCGGCACCAGUCAGCUCACCACCACCGACACCUAAGCCAUUACCUCCACCUGCUCCUGUGAGCUCACCACCUCCGGUGGUGAAGUCUUCUCCACCGCCGACACCAGUCAGCUCACCACCACCGACACCUAAGCCAUUGCCUCCACCUGCUCCUGUGAGCUCACCACCUCCAGUGGUGAAAUCUUCUCCACCACCGGCACCAGUCAGCUUACCACCACCGACGCCUAAGCCAUCUCCACCACCUACUCCUGUGAGCUCACCACCUCCAGUAGUAAAGUCUUCUCCACCACCAACACUAGUCAGCUCACCACCACCAGCACCUAAGUCAUUACCUCCACCUACUCCCGUGAGCUCGCCGCCUCCAGAAGUGAAGUCCUCUCCUCCACCAACCCCAGUUAGCUCACCACCACCAGCGCCGAAGUCGUCACCUCCACCUACUCCAGUGAGCUCGCCACCUCCAGAACUGAAGUCCUCUCCACCACCAGCCCCAGUUAGCUCACCAC